rnacentral:rRNA from 1 species
UUGGAGGGCAAGUCUGGUGCCAGCAGCCGCGGUGAUUCCAGCUCCAAUAGCGUAUAUUAAAGCUGUUGCAGUUAAAAAGCUCGUAGUUGAAAUUCGAAAUUUGUCCUAUGGUCGGGCUUUACGGUCCGUACAGUAGUGGUGAAUUUCUACCUUCUGAAGAACCUUCAUGUCAUUAAUUUGGUGUGUUGGGAAAUCAGGACUGUUACUUUGAAAAAAUUAGAGUGUUUAAAGCAAGCUAACGCUUGAAUACAUUAGCAUGGAAUAAUGAAAUAGGACGUUCGAUCCUAUUUUGUUGGUUUCUAGGAUUGACGUAAUGAUUAAUAGGGAUAGUUGGGGGCAUUAGUAUUCAAUUGUCAGAGGUGAAAUUCUUGGAUUUAUUGAAGACUAACUACUGCGAAAGCAUUUGCCAAGGAUGUUUUCAUUAAUCAAGAACGAAAGUUAGGGGAUCGAAGACGAUCAGAUACCGUCGUAGUCUUAACCAUAAACUAUGCCGACUAGGGAUCGGAUGAUGUUAAUUUUUUAAUGACUCAUUCGGCGCCUUACGGGAAAC